CAUUUACCCAAAUAUGGCAUUGUAGGUCUAACUAAUGCUAGUGGAGCUGGCUGGAGCCUGGCAGAGGUGUUGUCAGAUUUACACAGAAUGAGGGGCUCCUGGAGCUGCUCAGACAGAACGCUCACAGUGACUUCAUAAAACAGCACAACAGAAAGUGGACCAUAAUCAAUGAGAACUUAAAGCAUGACAGGAGAAGGGUGAUGCUGGGAGUCGGAUCAGACCUAUAAAAUCAGGUUGGAAAGAGCAAAAUGAGUCAUGAAGUCAAAAUCCAGGAGAAUUGGGACCUGGAAGUAGUGGAAUACGAAGGAGGACAGGAAGUGGUUCCACACCAAGGCUGUGCAUGUUUCAAGCCUGCUUUGGUCCUGCUCUCAUUUGGUGUCAAUAGCAUGUGACAAAUUCAAGACUAAUAGUUUACAAAUGGACAGCACCAAAAUAGACACACACGCUCUGAAGAUAACCAAUCUCUCUCUACCUCAGUUAGCUUCAGAUGUCAUCUGGACGAUUGUUCUCUGGAGAAUCAGUUUCUUUGUGGCAAGACUGCACAAGGAGUUGAUGAUGGUUGUAGAGUCAGCAAAAGCCCAGAACUAUGGCAUUUGGAUAAAAGCAGAAGUUUUGGCAAACAGACUAUGA
rnacentral:lncRNA from 1 species